rnacentral:rRNA from 1 species
AUAGGUGGCAAGCGUUGUCCGGAAUUAUUGGGCGUAAAGCGCGCGCAGGCGGUCCUUUAAGUCUGAUGUGAAAGCCCACGGCUCAACCGUGGAGGGUCAUUGGAAACUGGGGGACUUGAGUGCAGAAGAGGAAAGCGGAAUUCCAAGUGUAGCGGUGAAAUGCGUAGAGAUUUGGAGGAACACCAGUGGCGAAGGCGGCUUUCUGGUCUGUAACUGACGCUGAGGCGCGAAAGCGUGGGGAGCAAACAGGGAUUAGAUACCCUGGUAGUCCACGCCGUAAACGAUGAGUGCUAAGUGUUAGGGGGUUUCCGCCCCCUUAGUGCUGCAGCUAACGCAUUAAGCACUCCGCCUGGGGAUACGGCCGCAAGGCUG